GUUCUGUCUCACUGCGUCUGCCGGUCUUCAGUAGAUCUGGCACAUUUCUCAUUCUUUGGAGAGAGAAGCAGCAGCAGGAAGGGGCAGCAUUUUUGUCAGCAUUUUCAUCAGAGCUGAAGUCCUGCCGACUGGAAGGAUGUGGCUUUACCCGAGGGAUUGGCGGCUUACAGUGAUAGUGAAUUCGCACUGCUGUCUUCACCAAGAGGUCCUUUGUGAGGAGCCCAGCCCUGUCCCUUCAGUCGCUGCCCUGUGGGUGACAUGCUGACACAAGGAUUGUUGGUCUCACCACAUUCUGGAGCAGUCUUUUGCAGUGAGUGUUUUCAAGAUGCCCUGUCAUCUUUUCCUCUGUGUGCUGGCUUUCUCAGAAAUAUUACUCUCACUGUGUUCUGGGGCCAUUUCUGUUUUUUUAGGGCAGACGUUAGUUGUUUUUCUGUCCAUUUUUCUGUGCAAUUUCUGGGGGAUUUCUGUGUUUCUUAGUGCGAAUUUUUAGGCAUUUUCCUGGGUUGUUAAGGCCGAAUUUAUGCUGGGUUUUUUCCUGAUGUUUUUCCCAAUAAUGCUUGGAAUUUUGACU